CGGUAACAGCUCAAAUUUGAAAUCUGGCCGCAAGGUUGGAGUUGAAAUUUGUAGAGGAUGUUUCGAGCAUGGUCUGGUCUAAGUUCCUUGGAACAGGACGUCAUAGAGGGUGAGAAUCCCGUAUGCGGUCAGGUGCCUACGCUCAUGUGAAACUCCUUCGACGAGUCGAGUUGUUUGGGAAUGCAGCUCAAAAUGGGUGGUAAAUUUCAUCUAAAGCUAAAUAUUGGCCAGAGACCGAUAGCGCACAAGUAGAGUGAUCGAAAGAUGAAAAGCACUUUGGAAAGAGAGUUAAACAGUACGUGAAAUUGUUGAAAGGGAAGCGCUUGCAACCAGACUUGCGCGCGGCUGAUCAUCCGGGCUUCUGCCCGGUGCACUCGGUC
rnacentral:rRNA from 1 species